rnacentral:RNase_P_RNA from 1 species
AGAGUCGGCCGGAUGGUCGCCGCCCCUUGGGGGGCGGAGGAAAGUCCGGGCUCCACAGGGCAAGGCGCCAGGUAACGCCUGGGGGGCGCGAGCCUACGGAAAGUGCCACAGAAAAGAUACCGCCUAAGCCCUUCGGGGCCGGUAAGGGUGAAAUGGUGCGGUAAGAGCGCACCGCGCCGGUGGCAACACCGGCGGCAGGGUAAACCCCGCCUGGAGCAAGACCAAAUAGAGGGGCGGGCGGCUUCGGCCGCAGCGUGUGGCCCGCACGGUCCCUGGGUAGGUUGCUAGAGGUGCGCGGCGACGCGCAUCCCAGAUGAAUGACCAUCCUUUGACAGAACCCGGCUUACAGGCCGGCUCUCAUU